rnacentral:rRNA from 1 species
ACAGAGGUCCCGAGCGUUGUUCGGAUUCACUGGGCGUAAAGGGUGCGUAGGUGGCUUCGCAAGUCUGAUGUGAAAUCUCCAGGCCCAACCUGGAAACUGCAUUAGAAACUGUGAGGCUGGAGGCUUGGAGGGGGAACUGGAAUGCUCGGUGUAGCAGUGAAAUGCGUAGAGAUCGAGCGGAACACCAGUGGCGAAGGCGAGUUCCUGGACAAGUCCUGACACUGAGGCACGAAAGCCAGGGGAGCAAACAGGA